rnacentral:rRNA from 1 species
AUGUCAACUGCUAACAAAUGCACGUCUGAUAUGAAAAUAGUUGAUUCGACCGAUACAUCGUUAAACGGAUACAAAAGAAGCCCGGCCUGGAGACGGACCACAUGCGCGAAGAACAUGGCGUCCGGCCUCUCUGAGGCGCAUGAACUAAUCAGCUACCGUGAACACUGGAGCAGCGUCAUCUUGCUCUUCUCUGAUGGGCUAAUCAACGAGGGUGACUACUUUGAUGGAGCCGAGGACUUCGUCUCCAAAGUACCUGUCCACACAUUUACUCUCGGCGGAGAUGCGAACAACCACGUUCUUCAUGCCAUGGCAAAGAAUUCCCCUGGUGGGAUGUUUCACCCCCUCCAAGUCCCUGAUAGCCCAAAUCUACCGGCGCCCUUCUCACAACUACUGGACAACAUCCUCAACGGCACCAUGAGAUCCACCUAA